rnacentral:rRNA from 1 species
AAAAACAUGUCUUUUUGAAAAUAAUAAAAAGUCUAAUCUGCCCACUGAAUUUAUUUAAAGGGCUGCAGUAUAUUGACUGUACAAAGGUAGCAUAAUCAAUAGUCUUUUAAUUGAAGACUUGUAUGAAUGAUUUGAUGAAAUAUAAACUGUCUCUUUAUUAAAAAUAAAAUUUAAUUUUUUAGUUAAAAAGCUAAAAUAAUUAUAAAAGACGAGAAGACCCUGUAGAGUUUUAUAUUUAUUUUAUUUAAUAAUUAUUUAUAUAUUUUAAAUAUACAAUAAUUUAAGUAUUUUAUUGGGGUGAUAGAAAAAUUAGAUAAACUUUUUUUAAAAUUUAACAUUAAUUUAUGAAAUUAUGAUCCAUAAUUUAUGAUUAAAAGAAAAAAUUACCUUAGGGAUAACAGCGUAAUUUUUUUUUUUAGUUCAAAUAAAAAAAAGAGUUUGCGACCUCGAUGUUGGAUUAAGAUAAAAUUUAAAUGCAAAAGUUUAAAAUUUUUGAUCUGUUCGAUCAUUAAAAUCUUACAUGAUCUG